rnacentral:rRNA from 1 species
ACGUUCGGAACUGAUAAGCGCUGAAAGCAUCUAAGCGCGAAGCAGGCCUCGAGAUGAGUUCUCACUAGACUUUUAAAGUCUCUGAAGGGCCGUUGAAGACUACAACGUUGAUAGGCAAGAUGUGGAAGUGGUGUGAGCCAUUAAGCUAACUUGUACUAAUUACCCGUGAGGCUUAACCAUACAACGCCAAACGCGUUU